UAAGGAAUAUUGGUCAAUGGGCGCAAGCCUGAACCAGCCAUGCCGCGUGCAGGAAGACGGCCCUAUGGGUUGUAAACUGCUUUUGAACAAGAGAAAACCUCGGUACGUGUACCGAGCUGAUAGUAUUGUUAGAAUAAGCAUCGGCUAACUUCGUGCCAGCAGCCGCGGUAAGACGAAGGAUGCAAGCGUUAUCCGGAUUCAUUGGGUUUAAAGGGUGCGUAGGCGGACCGAUAAGUCAGUGGUGAAAUCUCUCAGCUUAACUGAGAAACUGCCAUUGAUACUGUCAGUCUAGAGUAUAUUUGAUGUGGGCGGAAUAUGACAUGUAGUGGUGAAAUACUUAGAUAUGUCAUAGAACACCGAUUGCGAAGGCAGCUCACAAAACUAUAACUGACGCUGAGGC
rnacentral:rRNA from 1 species